rnacentral:lncRNA from 1 species
AUAAAUACUAAGAAGGAAAAACGGUGAGACAUGGUCAGAAAUUCAUCCAAUGCACCGUUAAUUCAACCAAAUAAAAUAUUUAGAUUUUUACAAAAGUAAUAUUACUUUUUAAAAAAAAAAUCUAUAAAAUGAUGAGAAAUGAUAUAGAGUUUUUCUCUAUAAUAGCUAGCAUUUAUUAUUAUUAUUCUUAUCUUUUGGGUCCUCCAAUAAAUAGGGCUGAAAUCAGAUUGGAUACGGAUC